CAAACUGUGACAUGCUGGAGGGUACUGUGACAUCAGCCAGGCUGAGCUGUCGCAGCAGGGGAGAAUACCAUGCGUGGCAUCUGAAGGUAUCGGCUACUUUCUGGCAGGAGUGUGGGAGGCAAAACGAGGAUGAUGCCCAUCGCCAGCUCACACCGGCUCUGCUCUGCACUGAGGAACCUGACCUGGGAGGUGAACCGGUCCAACCUGCCCUGAGGAGGUUUGCUUUGAAAGUAAAAAGGCAGUUUGCAUGGAAA